UCUCUUCCCCUCGUUCGAUCGAUUUCUUCCAAAUACAUAACAAUGAUCGAUAUUAAAUGCAAUUGUGGAGCCACUGCAGUGAUUCGCACAUCUUAUAGCAAAAGAAACCCUGGGAAACUCUAUUAUGCUUGUACAGUAAAGGGACCAUUAUGCAAGUUCAUAGGAUGGGUGAAUGAUUAUGAUCAGGACUGUGAUUGUAUGGCGUUUAGGAUGAAACUUGAAGAACAAAAUCGCAAAUUGAAGCUUUACCUAGUUAUUAGCUGGGUUUUUUUUGUUUCAGUCCUUAUAUAUAAAGUGUAGGUUAAGUAAUGAAGUUGUUAGUAUUUUGGUAUGUGUAUAUUGUAAUGGAGACUCUUUGUAAUGUUAUUUGUAUUAACAAAAAAAUUUCAAUUUUAGUUGCAA